UACGUAGGUGGCAAGCGUUAUCCGGAUUUAUUGGGUGUAAAGGGCGUGUAGGCGGGAGCGCAAGUCAGAUGUGAAAACUCAGGGCUCAACCCUGAGCCUGCAUUUGAAACUGUGUUUCUUGAGUGCUGGAGAGGCAAUCGGAAUUCCGUGUGUAGCGGUGAAAUGCGUAGAUAUACGGAGGAACACCAGUGGCGAAGGCGGAUUGCUGGACAGUAACUGACGCUGAGGCGCGAAAGCAUGGGGAGCAAACAGG
rnacentral:rRNA from 1 species